rnacentral:rRNA from 1 species
UCUGGUGCCAGCAGCCGCGGUAAUUCCAGCUCCAAUAGCGUAUAUUAAAGUUGUUGCAGUUUAAAAGCUCGUAGUUGGAUUUAUGGUGUCUCCCGCGGUCCAUACUAUUUGGUACUGUGGGAGCUACCAUCCUUGGGUGGAACCUGUGUGGCAUUAGGUUGUCGCGCUGGGGAUGCCCAUCUUUUACUGUGAAAAAAUUAGAGUGUUCAAAGCAGGCUUACGCCGUUGAAUAUAUUAGCAUGGAAUAAUAAGAUAGGACCUUGGUACUAUUUUGUUGGUUUGCGCACCGAGGUAAUGAUUAAUGGGGACAGUUGGGGGUAUUCGUAUUCCAUUGUCAGAGGUGAAAUUCUUGGAUUUUUGGAAGACGAACUACUGCGAAAGCAUUUACCAAGGAUGUCUUCAUUAAUCAAGAACGAAAGUUAGGGGAUCGAAGAUGAUUAGAUACCAUCGUAGUCUUAACCAUAAACUAUGCCGGUUAGGGAUUGGCAGGGUCUCGUUACGUCUCUGUCAGCACCUUAUGAGAAAUCAUUAAACUUUUGGGUUCCGGGGGGAGUAUGGUCGCAAGGCUGAGACUUAAAGAAAUUGACGGAAGGGCACCACCAGGAGUGGAGCCUGCGGCUUAAUCUGACCCAACACGGGAAAACUUACCAGGUCCAGACAUAGUGAGGAUUGACAGAUUGAGAGCUCUUUCUUGAUUCUAUGGGUGGUGGUGCAUGGCCGUUCUUAGUUGGUGGAGUGAUUUGUCUGGUUAAUUCCGUUAACGAACGAGACCCCUGCCUGCUAAAUAGUUCGGCUAGGGAAUUUCACUGGUUAGAGCUUCUUAGAGGGACGUGCGUUCUAUUAGACGCAGGAAGAUAGGGGCAAUAACAGGUCUGUGAUGCCCUUAGAUGUCCUGGGCCGCACGCGCGCUACACUGAUGCAUUCAACGAGUGUUUCCUUGGCCGAGAGGCCUGGGCAAUCUUUUGAACCUGCAUCGUGAUAGGGAUAGAUUAUUGCAAUUAUUAAUCUUGAACGAGGAAUUCCUAGUAAACGCAGUUCAUCAAACUGCAUUGAUUACGUCCCUGCCCUUUGUACACACCGCCCGUCGCACCUACCGAUUGAAUGGUCCGGUGAAGCCUCGGGAUUGUGACCAGCUCCUUUAUUGGGGUUGGUUGCGAGAACUUGUCUAAACCUUAUCAUUUAGAGGAAGGUGAAGUCGUAACAAGGUUUCCGUAGGUGAUCCUGCGGAAG